CUCAGCCCUUGUAAAAAAAAAGUGUGUGUAUAUUUCAUGGUAGCCCAAUAAAGUCAGCUGGUAAAGUCUGAGGAGGAGCCUUUGAGAUGUGAGUCCUGUGACAGUAAAUAUGCUGCAGCAUUUCAAGCAGGAGACCCCUUCCAUUAAAACCUGCAAGAGACAGAUGAUAUACAGCAGCAGGGCCACAAACUCAUAUUUCAUUUAUACAUCUGUGCAGCAAGUGGAAGAGUUUAUCGAAGGAGUGGAAAUUAGAAACAGGAAAUCCUGUUCAAGGAAGGAUUUUUAUAGCUUUAUUUGUUUCGCACGUCUCCCUUCAAACUGCUGCACUUUCUCGAUAAACAGCACAAAGGAUCCUUGGAGCACUUUCAGAAGGAUGACACCAAAUAUCUGUACUGUUACAGAUUCUGUGAGGAAGGACAUUUCUUUUAAAUUUGUUCUUUAAAUUUUCUUUCCUUUUCUUUUUCUUUUUUUAAUAUCUAACAUUUCCCUUAGCAUUGUUUUUUUUUUUUUUUUUGCCCUUUCACUGUAUUUAUAAAACAUGGAUGUCAUCUCCAGCUCUCAGGAGAGAAACAUACUCCAAGUUCCUGAUGUGCCUUCUGUCUAAUGGCCAGCAGGGGCUCCUCUGGUUGCAGAGCCAAGUCUUACAGUUUUUUCUGAAUGCUUAAACCCUAACUGUGAUUCCUGUAGCACAAUCUUUAAAACUAGUCAGACUUAUAGCAAAACCACUCACUGAGUUUGCAAAACUAAAAGCACAAAAACUGCUUUGCACUCAGUUUGCAAUUUUGUAACACACACUUUGCAAAACUGUAGGCACAAUUCACUGCACAACACUCAAUUACCAAAUUUCCAACACACUCCUAGCAAAAGUAUACACAUGUAUGGCUAUCAUUAACACUAAUUUGCCAACUGUCUGGCACACUUUCACAUGUCAAAACUUUCUUAGAUAAUUAGUUCACUUUGCAAUCAGCCCAAGCACUAUAAUACAGGUAAGCUCUGUGUGCGGAGUACAAUGGUGGGAGCAGAAAGAGUG
ensembl:lncRNA